rnacentral:rRNA from 1 species
GACGAACCGUGCGAACGUUGUUCGGAAUCACUGGGCUUAAAGGGCGCGUAGGCGGGCCGCAAAGUCAGGGGUGAAAUCCUCCAGCUCAACUGGAGAACUGCUUUUGAUACUGGCGGUCUUGAGUGGGGUAGGGGCAUGCGGAACAAUGGGUGGAGCGGUGAAAUGCGUUGAUAUCAGGAGGAACACCAAUGGCGAAGGCAGCUCGCUGGGACGUGACUGACGCUGAGACGCGAAAGCGUGGGGAGCAAACAGG